AAAGAAUCACUUUUUCUAAGUAUGUCGGAGUGAUUGAGCAGAGAGAAAAAUGAAUACCCUAAGCGAACUAGAAAUCUGGAAAGAACCGAAAUAGAGGCAGUGUCUCAUGACACUUUACUUGAGGACUCACCUGAUGAACUGCUGAUCAACUCUAUAGAUUCCUUCACCUAACCAGAACUGACUUCAUCAGAGAGUUAUGAUGGUUAACUCUAUCAGUCUUCUACCUGAAUGCCCCAAGAUAUUGAUGAAGUCAACAAAAACAUUGAGCCUCAGAACACAAGAAAUCUUGGACAAACUGGGAGACAGCUUGUCAGUAUCUAAGGUUGCCAUCUGGAGUUUUAAGUAAUUGUCUACUACUGAAGAAACAAGACCCAGCAGACCCUCAGAUGGAACUGAAGUCUCUGUCUUGUCCUGGAGAUGUCCCCCAUCUCCUCAUCCCCAUCAGCUGAGGAUUUCCAUUUGUUUACAUGGCCCUCCAGGAUCUCUCCUGCACUUCCCCAGACUUGAUCCUGAAGCCUCCAUUUCCCUCCCUAUAGGGAAUGCAUCUGGAAAAGAGACUACCAGCAGAAGAGCAUAAAGGGGCGUGGAAGCCUAAACUGAACGAAGACCAAAGUGUGGACACUUUGCCCCUUCUUAGAAUUUGAAACAAUCACCCAUGGAAGGAGU
rnacentral:lncRNA from 1 species